rnacentral:rRNA from 1 species
UUGACCUCGGAUCAGGUAGGGAUACCCGCUGAACUUAAGCAUAUCAAUAAGCGGAGGAAAAGAAACCAACAGGGAUUGUCUCAGUAACGGCGAGUGAAGCGGCAACAGCUCAAAUUUGAAAUCUGCCUCUAGGCCGAGUUGUAAUUUGUAGAAGAUGCUUCGGGUGUGGCACCGGUCUAAGUUCCUUGGAACAGGACGUCAUAGAGGGUGAGAAUCCCGUACGUGACUGGCUGCCUUCGCCCAUGUGAAGCUCUUUCCACGAGUCGCAGUGGUUAGCGAAUGCAGCUCAAAAUAGGCUGCUAUAUUUCAUCUCACGCUAACUAUGGGCAGAGACUGUACCGCACGACUCUAGUGACGCAAGAUCGAAAGAAUUUUGCAAGAGACGUGACCGUCCAUGAUAUUGUGUG